GAAUAUGAAGCGAUAUAUUGCAAUUAGUUUCGACCUAAUUUUAGGUACCAAAAUACCCUUAUUCU
rnacentral:tRNA from 1 species